GAUGUCAUGAUUUAGUGGUAUCAUAAUUGAAUAUAAUAUAAUUAUAGUAAGUGAUUAAAAUAAAAAAAUUAAAAUGGGGAUAUUGCAAUUUAAUUAUGUGUAUAUUAUCAUUUCAUGAUUUAGAAUGUUCUAGAAAUAAGAAAGGAAAAAAGAAAGAAAAUAAAGAAAAUAAAUAUUUCUCUUGAAAACUUACAAUCUUAAAUAUGUAAGUUCAAAUCUUAUUAUGAUGUCA
rnacentral:tRNA from 1 species